UCAUAAAAAAAAUUAAUUAAUAAGAAAGAAAAUGAAAUCAUUAAAUUUAAAUAAUUUGGCGGUAUUUUAAAUAGUUAGAGGAAUUUGUUAGUUAAAUGAUACUCCACGAAUGGAAUGUCCUAAUAUAGUUUUUAUGUAUUGUUGUAUAAAAAUUAUUUUAUAAGAAUUAUAAUUAGUAUAUUAUAUAUAAUUUGAAUUCAAAUCAAAAUGUAGAAUUAUUAGGAUUAAAUGAAUUACAAUUUAAUAUAAUAUUAGAAUUAUUUUUUUAAUUAAAAUAAUAAAAGAGGAUUUAAAAGUAAAUUUAAAUAAAUAUUUAAGUUGAAAUUUUAAUUAAAAUAUG
rnacentral:rRNA from 1 species